GUAAUGUUGUUCAAAUGAUCAAAUCACAUUGUACCUACGUUCAGCAUGGCCAGGUCAACUUGUUAUGAGCGACUUUGGGCUGGCGUUAAAGUCACCUGCAAAUAUCAUUGGUUUUUGCGCUUGUUUCCUACAGUGUAGUUGUUUAUUUGGGCUUGCUUAGCUCCCUGUUUGACUGUGGGCUUUUUUUAUUUUAGGAUUCAAGUCGCCUUUUUGGGGGGCUUGAGUACAUUUGAGAUGUCUUUGACUUUCAUUCUGCCAAGUAAAAACUGAAUUACACAUAUCACGUUUUUUUUCAUGGUUUUUGUUUGCAACUCAGGUUUUGUGUGUGUGAGUCUAUCUCCCCUUUCACAGAGGUUGGGCAGCUCUUAAUCAGCACUGGCUCCUCCUGCACCGUCACACCUGCACCUGAUCAUGUAAUCACUUCCUGCUUUCAAGCUCUGCCUGGGGGACUGCAGAUCGCCAGAUGAUUCCAGCUUUCACAGCGGUAUCUUGGCUAGUCUCAAGCAAAGUUACUGUACUUAAAUUAAUAUUUACGUGUGUUUAAAAGUUACCUUUGACUAAUCUCCGCUCACCUCCUUUUCUCCUCCAGUGCCUCCACUCACCACCAGCAUUGCCCAGCCUCUGCCACGACGGCCACACUCUCUCACGGAUUCAGUCACCUGCAUGCCUUCAAGCCCUCACUCUGCCCUCCCCCUCCAUUCCGUGGAUCUCCUUCACUCCCUGGACUUCAGAGCUCUCUUCCGCAACCAUCGAACUGUCAAUGAAAUCUCUUAAAGCUGCCAUUGUGUCCUUUACCUGCUUUUGGGUCCUCUAAAGAAACACCUCAUUACAAAAUCCUCACAGAUUUCUUUUUUUGAGUAGUCACAAAUAUGUUAUUGGGAUGAGUCAAAAACACAAAUAGUGAUAUCUGUUAUUCAGUGUUGUUGAUAUCUACAAGGUUAAUACCGUAGAGUUAAACUUAGCUGUUAAAUGUUAAAAUGUCUUGCCAUAGUCUCCUACUGUCACGAUUAGUUAAUCCUCCAUUUUCCACUUGGAUCUCUGCCGGUCUGUUGUUGAUACAUGUCACUGGGCUAUCUCCAUGCUGAUUGGUUAUCAAGGCAGCAACAUUCACUUGUUCAGAUGAUUCAACUCUUGCAACAGGCGUUUGAAGCAUGUAGUGUUUUGGACGUGACACAAAUUCACUUCAUUCAUACGUAUGAUCCUUUCUUUUCAUAAGAGUAGUCAGUUCAAUUUGCACUAGUAGCACCAU